rnacentral:misc_RNA from 1 species
GAUGAAGAACGUAGCGAAAUGCGAUAAGUAGUGUGAAUUGCAGAAUUCAGUGAAUCAUCGAAUCUUUGAACGCACAUUGCGCCCCUUGGUAUUCCAUGGGGCAUGCCUGUUCGAGCGUCAUUUGUACCUUCAAGCUCUGCUUGGUGUUGGGUGUUUGUCUCGCCUCUGCGUGUAGACUCGCCUCAAAACAAUUGGCAGCCGGCGUAUUGAUUUCGGAGCGCAGUACAUCUCGCGCUUUGCACUCAUAACGACGACGUCCAAAAGUACAUUUUUACACUCUUGACCUCGGAUCAGGUAGGGAUACCCGCUGAACUUGAGCAUAUCAAUAAGCGGAGGA